rnacentral:rRNA from 1 species
CCUACGGGAGGCAGCAGUGAGGAAUAUUGGUCAAUGGACGCAAGUCUGAACCAGCCAUGCCGCGUGCAGGAAGACGGCUCUAUGAGUUGUAAACUGCUUUUGUACGAGGGUAAACGCAGAUACGCGUAUCUGUCUGAAAGUAUCGUGCGAAUAAGGAUCGGCUAACUCCGUGCCAGCAGCCGCGGUAAUACGGAGGAUUCAAGCGUUAUCCGGAUUUAUUGGGUUUAAAGGGUGCGUAGGCGGUCGGAUAAGUUAGAGGUGAAAUCCCGAGGCUCAACUUCGGAAUUGCCUCUGAUACGGUGCGGCUAGAGAGGAGUUGCGGUAGGCGGAAUGUAUGGUGUAGCGGUGAAAUGCUUAGAGAUCAUACAGAACACCGAUUGCGAAGGCAGCUUACCAAGCUACUUCUGACGUUGAGGCACGAAAGCGUGGGGAGCAAACAGGAUUAGAUACCCGAGUAGUC